GCAGACACAUUCCAGCCAAUCAGCAGCAGACCCUCCCUCCCAGACCCUCCCACCUCCUGGACAGCUCACUAAGAAUGCAGCUUCACAAUGAAUGUAAAAUGGAUGCUGUCCAGGAGGUGGGAGGGUCUGGGAGGGAGGGUCUGCUGCUGAUUGGCUGGAAUGUAUCUG